GCUCGGCGCCACUUCUUCCCUAAUCCCACCUCAACUCCUUUGAUCCAGAUACAUACGCGAUCGCGCCUUCUCCACCGAAACCCUAACGCCGCCGCGCCCUCCCCAUCGCCGCGCUUCCGCUACGCUGGAAUCCCCGCCAUGCCGAUCUCCUCCACUCUCUCCGCGCGCCUCGGCCCCGGCCCCGCGCCGUCGCCGGCGCCGGCGCGGUCGAGCCCUUACGCCCGCCCCUCCGAACCACGCGGGGCCAAGGCCAGCCGCCCCGCCCUCAGCCUCGAUCCCGCGACGGCGAGGCUCCUCGGCCCCGCGCGCAAGGCGCCACCAGCCCGCAGAUCGAGUUACGCCGCGGAGGCCCCCGCCCCGACGCGACGGCGGCCUGCAGACGAGGAGUCGGACCAGAAGACCGAUCCGAAGCCGGCGGAGACGAAUCGGAGGCCGAACCAGGAGCCGCGCGUGCGGGAGAGCUGCGGCGGGUUCGCUUUCCUCUGCGCCCUCGCUGGACAUACCGAGGCUAUCACUGGCAUCUCUAUGCCGACUGGUUCUGACAAGCUCUACUCCGGCAGCACCGACGGCACAGUUCGCCUAUGGGACUCCAACUCUGGCAAGUGCGUUGAUAUCAUCAAGAUGGGAGGCAAGAUCAGCUGCAUGAUUACUCACGACAAGUGGGUUUUGUUCGGAAUCCCAAAAUCCGUGGAGGCAUGGAACAUACAGACAGGGAUGAAACUAAGUCUCCAGGGACCUUCUGGGCUUGUUUGUUCUAUGACUAUCAAAGAUGAAAUGCUAUUUGCUGGCACGGGGGAUGGUCGCAUCAUGGCUUGGAAAUUUCCUACUAAGGAGAACAACUUGGGACCAGUGGCAAUUCUCAGUGGCCAUGAGCGUCAAGUGAUUUCACUUUCUGUCUCAGCAACAAGGCUUUACUCUGGCUCACUUGACAAGACAAUCAGAGUAUGGGACCUUAAAACUCUCCAGUGUGUUCAAACACUCUCUGAGCAUAAAGCUGCUGUUACUUCUGUGCUUUGUUGGGAUCAGAAAUUAUUAUCAUGCUCCCUGGACAAAACCAUAAAGGUCUGGUCUGCUUCAGAGUCUGGAAACCUUCAAGUCACGCAUACCCAUUCUGAGGAGCAUUGUUUGCUUGAUUGUGUGUUACUGGGUUGAGCAGUUUCCAUCUUUUCUCAAGUGAUGUCACAACUCAACCCUAGCUGCAGUUAUUUGUCUAAACUCAAGUGGAAGAUUUUUUCAGAGUUCUUGUCGCUUGAUCAGUCUUUUAUGUUAUUCUGUCGGUGCAUGACAGUCUUUAUUUCUGGAAGUUGUGACUCUAUCUGCAUUCAGUCGAGCAAUAUAGUUUUCGCAAGCUGGCCUUUGUUACCUGUUUGGUUGUAUCUGUUCUUGGUCUGCUGGGAGUUUAUCUUGUAUUAUUGAGCAGCAGAUAUAAGGUUAACCCUGUCAGCAGCUCUUUUAUUGGGAUAUUUAGUUGGUUGCCAUCAGUCUUUUGAGCUCAUUUGUUUCCGUGAAGAGUUAGUGUGGGAGUAUCAGAUAGAGAUGUAUCAGCAAGGAUGGAAUGGUUAUCAAGACUUCAUAGUGAUUAGUCAUAAUACCACAAUAGUCUGUUCAUCCCAAAUUCUGGAUAUUGUUCUUGAUAUUUGUCCUGUAUUCCUGCGAGCGCUGUGCACAUAUGUCGAUGUUACUUCCCAUCCUUGAUUUUCUCAACACCUCUUUUACUCGGAACAAGUUAACAGUCUACUUCUUUAAGCUGUGUUGAGCUUUCAUGAUAUUAAUGGCCUUGAGAAAUUUCUACUUUAUUAGGGUGCCUGGGGAUUGCGCACCCUCUUCGGCAUGCAUCGUGUGGGAAAGACGCCAGUUUUGUUCUGUUCCCUACACAACAGCAACUGCAUCCGCCUGUUUGACCUGCCAUCGUUUGAUGAGAGGGGCAAGCUUUCCUCCAAGAAAGAA